CAGCCGCCGCGGUAAUACAGAGGAUUUAAGCGUUAUCCGGAAUGAUUGGGCGUAAAGCGUCUGUAGGUGGCUUUUCAAGUCCGUCGUCAAAUCCCAGGGCUCAACCCUGGACAGGCGGUGGAAACUACCAAGCUGGAGUACGGUAGGGGCAGAGGGAAUUUCCAGUGUAGCGGUGAAAUGCGUAGAUAUAUGGAGGAACACCAGUGGCGAAGGCGACUCUCUGGUCUGUAACUGACGCUGAGGCUCGAAAGCGUGGGUAGUAAACAGGAUUAGAUACCCCCGUAGUCCCUGUCUCUUAUAC
rnacentral:rRNA from 1 species